UCCCAGUUCGGAUUGUAGUCUGCAACCCGACACAUGAAGCUGGAAUCGCUAGUAAUCGCGGAUCAGAAUGCCGCGGUGAAUACGUUCCCGGGUCUUGUACACACCGCCCGUCACACCGUGGGAGUCGGAAAUGCCCGAAGUCUGUGACCCAACCGAAAGGAGGGAGCAGCCGAAGGCAGGUCGGAUGACUGGGGUGAAGUCGUAACAAGGUAUC
rnacentral:rRNA from 1 species